GAGUUUAAACGCACACCCUGAUUUAUAUUUUAUAAGUCCUUCCUCCCACUCGCCACAUUCUGCGCGGUGUGGAUCAAUAACCAUACACAAUAAACCUACAUGUCUCGGUGAUGAUGGAAUAUUUGGUUUUCUAUUCAAGUUUCUGACACCCAGUGAAGUGCUAGUUAAGACUUGUGGGUUGUUUCCUAAUGAAAGGCUUCUGGCGACCCUUUGCUAGGCUUGGCGUUAGGAGUUAUUCGGUUUUAGGCUAUGAUCAGCUGAGAAUUAAUGGGGUUAAAGAUGUUAUUGCCGUUGCGUCUGGUAAAGGCGGUGUUGGCAAGUCUACCACUGCAGUUAAUUUGGCGGUUGCACUAGCUAACAAGUGUCAAUUGAAGGUGGGCUUGCUUGAUGCUGAUGUGUACGGACCAUCAGUUCCAACCAUGAUGAAAAUCAACCAAAAGCCAGAAGUUACUAGAGAUUUGAAGAUGAUUCCUAUUGAGAACUAUGGAGUGAAGUGCAUGUCAAUGGGAUUUCUGGUGGAUAAGGAUGCACCGAUUGUGUGGAGAGGUCCCAUGGUGAUGAGUGCUCUUCAGAAAAUGUCAAGGGAAGUCGAUUGGGGAAGUCUUGAUAUUCUUGUGGUGGAUAUGCCACCUGGCACAGGUGAUGCACAACUAACUAUGUCCCAGAAGCUUCAGUUGUCAGGUGCUUUGAUAGUUUCAACCCCGCAAGAUGUUGCCUUGAUUGAUGCUCGUAGAGGAGUUAGAAUGUUCUCUAAAGUUCAAGUUCCUAUUUUGGGAUUAGUAGAGAACAUGAGCUGCUUCAAAUGUCCACACUGUGGUGAACCUUCAUUCAUUUUUGGGAUGGGUGGAGCUCGUAAAACAGCAGCUGAGAUGGGUUUGCAACUUCUUGGUGAGGAUUACUAGAAGAGGCAGAUAAUGAAUGAUGAUGUGGAACUUUAUAUGUGAAUGGAUGAAAGUCAGGCCACAACAAUACCCAUUGAAGUGGACAUUAGGAAAGGUUGUGAUGAAGGCAUACCAAUAGUGGUAUCAGCACCUGGUUCUGUUAUCUCCAAAGCUUACCAUGAUGUAGCUCAAAAUGUUGUCGUGAGACUUGAGGAUUUAGCAAAAAAAUGAAAACUACCUCAAGGGACUGGACCAGUGGAGUUUAUUCAGGUGGUUAGUUCACUUAGGUAAGGUAAACCACCUCCAUUGUCAUGGUUUGUUGGCCACAUUUACUUGGUGGUGCUUUUGAGAUUCUCCGGAGAACCAUAUUGUAUAUCAAGGAUUUCAGUUUGAGGUUUUCUGAUCGAAUAUCAAAAGCGUGGAAGCAUACUGAUUAAGAAACUAAUUUGGAUGUUACACACUCAAACCAGUUGAGUUUGUCAUUAGAUUGCUCUUUUGCGCGAGGGAUGGAAAUGUUAAGUCCUUCAUCUGUCCCAAGUUUUCUAGUAAUACCGGGCACAUUUGUUCAUUUUUUCUUGUAGUUGUUCCAUGUGGAAAUUAGCUGAUGCUAAAAUGACUUAAAGCUUUGAAAUUAAUCUAAGAAUCUUACAAUCAAAAACAUGGAGAUUGGCAUUUGUAGAAAUUCUUGUACAUGAGCUUUGAAUUGGACAAACA